rnacentral:rRNA from 2 species
AAACUAGGAUUAGAUACCCUACUAUUUAAAGAUUGCUUUAAAGUAGUAAAUUAUUUUUUCUAAACUUAAUUCUUCUGGCGGUUCACUACUCUAGCAGAGGAGCUUGUUAAUUUAAUUUGAUAACCCCCUUUUAAUUUCACCACUUUUGUUUUUAUGUACGGCUGUUAAGUUUUAACAUACAGGUUAUUGCUUUUUACGUUAGUGUUUUAAUUCAGGUCAAUGUGUAAAUCAUAAAGUGGUUUUAAUGAGCUACUUUUUUGUAUAAAAUUAAUUUUAUUUGAAAUUGGAUUUGAUAGUAAAUAAGAAAUUGAAUUUCUUAUUGAUGUGGAUUUUUGGUGAAAGUACAUAUCGCCCGUCACUCUUUUGAUAGAUAAGUCGUAACAUAGUA